rnacentral:tRNA from 1 species
UCCCUGGUGGCUCAGAUGGUAAAGUGUCUGCCUAUAAUGCAGGAGACCUGGGUUCAAACCCUGGGUUGGGAA